rnacentral:rRNA from 1 species
CCUACGGGAGGCAGCAGUAGGGAAUCUUCGGCAAUGGGGGCAACCCUGACCGAGCAACGCCGCGUGAGUGAAGAAGGUUUUCGGAUCGUAAAGCUCUGUUGUAAGUCAAGAACGGGUGUGAGAGUGGAAAGUUCACACUGUGACGGUAGCUUACCAGAAAGGGACGGCUAACUACGUGCCAGCAGCCGCGGUAAUACGUAGGUCCCGAGCGUUGUCCGGAUUUAUUGGGCGUAAAGCGAGCGCAGGCGGUUUGAUAAGUCUGAAGUUAAAGGCUGUGGCUCAACCAUAGUUCGCUUUGGAAACUGUCAAACUUGAGUGCAGAAGGGGAGAGUGGAAUUCCAUGUGUAGCGGUGAAAUGCGUAGAUAUAUGGAGGAACACCGGUGGCGAAAGCGGCUCUCUGGUCUGUAACUGACGCUGAGGCUCGAAAGCGUGGGGAGCGAACAGGAUUAGAUACCCUGGUAGUCCGACCGCCGUAAACCGGAACUAGUAGUAGUCGUACGGUAGGUUAGGUAGUACCGUUUCCGGGUUACGGUUACGUACGUAGGUCCGGCCGCGACGUACCGUACGACUUAAGUACACCUACCCGUCCCGUCCGGGGUCGGGGUACGGUACCCGGACCGACGGUUAGGUAAACGUUAAAACGGUUAAAAGUUAAGUUACGGACGGUCGAGGACGUACGUCCGACGGACGACCGACCGACGGGAGGGUUAGGGAGG